AAGGAGCUGCUUGAUCUACAGAAGAGUUCAACCUGUCGACUGGAGACUCUGAGCUCAGACAAUGAAGAAAGUGAUGAGAACACGAACCAUGAAAAGAAGGAAAUGCUGUCUGAGACAGAAAGACAAACAAAUACCUCAGGAUGAAGAAGAGGAUUUGUAUUUUAUAUCUGUCACUAUUUUGUAUUUGAACAUAAUUUUAUGAAACUUUACUUCAUCUACUGUUCUGGCACAUUUAAUGUUUUUUUUAAAUGUAUUUUUAUAAAUCUGUGUGUUAUCUUUCUGUAUGUGACACAUUUAGGGUUUUAUUCAUCAGGACUUCUGCUCAUGACUUUGGUGACUUCUAUCUUGUCCUCUAGCGCCACCUGCAGUUCCAAGCUUCCAUUAAUCCACUGAAAUCGAAAUGAAUCUGCAGAUGUCUUCUCCUCUGGCUCCCCCGUGUGGUCACUGAUUGUUCCAACACUUCCUGAGCUCCAGAGCCGCGGGUUGCCGACCCCUGGUCUAGAUUGACUCACAGAUGGGUUGGAUCCAGUCCAGAGACUUUUCCUGGAGAAGAUCAGAGAAUAC